AUACUAACAAAGUUGUAAAUGUUGAUUUGUGCAAAAGUGGGGGAAAUUUUAGUGAUUUGAAUUUGAAAUAUCCAAAACCAAAUUGUCUGAACAGCAUACAAUGAAGAUGGCAGAUAAUUCAAAUCUCUUCUGGGAAUUUGCUCUUUUUAGUUUGAAGAUCUUGAAUACUGGAUGACUUGGUUUCAGUGAAAACCAACCGAAACGUGUAUCUAAAGACAGUGGGACAAAGCAAAAACUUCGAGAAUAUCGCUGUUGGCUCACCUCCUUCAAGCACUUUGUGAUCUUGAAUACUAGACACAUCGUCCACUAUGAUCAGCACUGUACAGGAAAAGGAUGUCUAUUUUACUGAGAAGUAAAAAUAGACUUGAAGUAAAAAUAACAAGUAGUUCAUUUUACCGGUAUAAUCUGAGCAGAAUCUCCUUCAAUGCUGGCGA